AAAGUGGGACGAUCGGUCGCGUGGCAGCAUACUCGCAUGCCAUGAGGAAAGUCCGGACUCUGAGGGCGGGAUGCCGGUUAACUGCCGGGAGGAGUGAUCCUCGGAAAGGGCCAUAGAAACGAAAACCGCCGAAUAUGGCAAGGGUGGAAAGGUGAGGUAAGAGCUCACCGGCAUCAGGGUAACCUGAUGGCCUGGUAACCCCCAUCCUGAGCAAGGUCAAAUAGGAAGGUUAAGCUUGCCCGGCUUGCCUUUUAUGGCGCCUUCCAGGUAGACCGCUUAGAUAAAUGACCGACAAAACAGAAUCCGGCUUACCGUCCCACUUUUUUU
rfam:Marinitoga piezophila KA3, complete genome.